rnacentral:misc_RNA from 1 species
AAGUCGUAACAAGGUUUCCGUAGGUGAACCUGCGGAAGGAUCAUUAAAUACAGUAGAUUUCUACUGAUCGGGGGGUGGGAAGAUCCAGUUCGAUUACUGGACCACGAGUAAGCCCCCCUGCUCUGCACCCUUAGCUCUUUUGCUGUACUCAUGUUUCCUUCCGGUGGGCUUGGCCUGCCGAAUGAACAACUCUAAGACCCUUUUAAUUUUUAAUCAGCGUCUGAACAAUUAUAAUAAUUACAA